GAUGAACGCUGGCGGCGUGCCUAAUACAUGCAAGUCGAGCGAACGGACGAGAAGCUUGCUUCUCUGAUGUUAGCGGCGGACGGGUGAGUAACACGUGGAUAACCUACCUAUAAGACUGGGAUAACUUCGGGAAACCGGAGCUAAUACCGGAUAAUAUUUUGAACCGCAUGGUUCAAAAGUGAAAGACGGUCUUGCUGUCACUUAUAGAUGGAUCCGCGCUGCAUUAGCUAGUUGGUAAGGUAACGGCUUACCAAGGCAACGAUGCAUAGCCGACCUGAGAGGGUGAUCGGCCACACUGGAACUGAGACACGGUCCAGACUCCUACGGGAGGCAGCAGUAGGGAAUCUUCCGCAAUGGGCGAAAGCCUGACGGAGCAACGCCGCGUGAGUGAUGAAGGUCUUCGGAUCGUAAAACUCUGUUAUUAGGGAAGAACAUAUGUGUAAGUAACUGUGCACAUCUUGACGGUACCUAAUCAGAAAGCCACGGCUAACUACGUGCCAGCAGCCGCGGUAAUACGUAGGUGGCAAGCGUUAUCCGGAAUUAUUGGGCGUAAAGCGCGCGUAGGCGGUUUUUUAAGUCUGAUGUGAAAGCCCACGGCUCAACCGUGGAGGGUCAUUGGAAACUGGAAAACUUGAGUGCAGAAGAGGAAAGUGGAAUUCCAUGUGUAGCGGUGAAAUGCGCAGAGAUAUGGAGGAACACCAGUGGCGAAGGCGACUUUCUGGUCUGUAACUGACGCUGAUGUGCGAAAGCGUGGGGAUCAAACAGGAUUAGAUACCCUGGUAGUCCACGCCGUAAACGAUGAGUGCUAAGUGUUAGGGGGUUUCCGCCCCUUAGUGCUGCAGCUAACGCAUUAAGCACUCCGCCUGGGGAGUACGACCGCAAGGUUGAAACUCAAAGGAAUUGACGGGGACCCGCACAAGCGGUGGAGCAUGUGGUUUAAUUCGAAGCAACGCGAAGAACCUUACCAAAUCUUGACAUCCUUUGACAACUCUAGAGAUAGAGCCUUCCCCUUCGGGGGGGCAAAGUGACAGGUGGUGCAUGGUUGUCGUCAGCUCGUGUCGUGAGAUGUUGGGUUAAGUCCCGCAACGAGCGCAACCCUUAAGCUUAGUUGCCAUCAUUAAGUUGGGCACUCUAAGUUGACUGCCGGUGAUAAACCGGAGGAAGGUGGGGAUGACGUCAAAUCAUCAUGCCCCUUAUGAUUUGGGCUACACACGUGCUACAAUGGACAAUACAAAGGGCAGCGAAACCGCGAGGUCAAGCAAAUCCCAUAAAGUUGUUCUCAGUUCGGAUUGUAGUCUGCAACUCGACUACAUGAAGCUGGAAUCGCUAGUAAUCGUAGAUCAGCAUGCUACGGUGAAUACGUUCCCGGGUCU
rnacentral:rRNA from 1 species